CUGGGGGCGUCCCCAAGAUGGCGAGUCUGCGGGCCGGGGCUUGCGGAGGGGCUGGACCUGGAACUCGCCUAGGCUAAUAGGUCACCGCGCUUUGUUUAGUCUUUCUCCAUACCAAAGUGCACUCUGCGGUCCUAGGGACAGAGAUGUGCUGAUCGAUUCCUUCAAGAAACCGAGAGAAUUACAAGUACCAACCCAGCCGAGAUGGUCCCCCUUUAGCUCGGCGUUUUCUGAUUCUUUUAGUUCUUUCCUCGACACAGGACUUUGAACCUUUCCCUCUUCUGCUUGACGAUGACAAAAUGCCAAGUGCACCGCUCACCCUUAUCCUGGAAGAGGUCGGGCUAGUUCCUGGUCCAAAUAAAAAUUUGGUAAUGAGUUUCAGGAGAAUGACAAGUCUUCAAGGAAACUUUUUAAGGAAAACAUACUUAGAAUAAUAAUAAUGUUGUUUAAAGUUAUUCUUGAUGUUAAUAAAAACAGUCAUACAUGAUGUUAACUGUAUCCUUGAUGUUAAUAAAAGCAAUCUUACAUGAUGUCAA